CCUACGGGAGGCAGCAGUGGGGAAUAUUGCGCAAUGGGCGAAAGCCUGACGCAGCGACGCCGCGUGAGGGAUGAAGGCCUUCGGGUUGUAAACCUCUUUCAGCAGGGACGAAAUCAGACGGUACCUGCAGAAGAAGCACCGGCCAACUACGUGCCAGCAGCCGCGGUAAUACGUAGGGUGCAAGCGUUGUCCGGAAUUAUUGGGCGUAAAGAGCUCGUAGGCGGUUUGUCGCGUCGGCUGUGAAAACUCGGGGCUCAACCCCGAGCCUGCAGUCGAUACGGGCAGACUAGAGUGCUGUAGGGGAGACUGGAAUUCCUGGUGUAGCGGUGAAAUGCGCAGAUAUCAGGAGGAACACCGGUGGCGAAGGCGGGUCUCUGGGCAGUAACUGACGCUGAGGAGCGAAAGCGUGGGGAGCAAACAGGAUUAGAUACCCUGGUAGUCCACGCCGUAAACGGUGGGUGCUAGGUGUAGGUCGUAUUCCACGCGAUCUGUGCCGCAGCUAACGCAUUAAGCACCCCGCCUGGGGAGUACGGCCGCAAGGCUAAAACUUAAGGAAUUGACGG
rnacentral:rRNA from 1 species